rnacentral:rRNA from 1 species
GACGAACGCUGGCGGCGUGCCUAAUACAUGCGAGUAGAACGCUGAAGGAGGAGCUUGCUUCUCUGGAUGAGUUGCGAACGGGUGAGUAACGCGUAGGUAACCUGCCUGGUAGCGGGGGAUAACUAUUGGAAACGAUAGCUAAUACCGCAUAAUAGCAGUUGUUGCAUGAUAACUGUUUGAAAGGUGCAAUUGCACCACUACCAGAUGGACCUGCGUUGUAUUAGCUAGUUGGUGGGGUAACGGCUCACCAAGGCGCCGAUACAUAGCCGACCUGAGAGGGUGAUCGGCCACACUGGGACUGAGACACGGCCCAGACUCCUACGGGAGGCAGCAGUAGGGAAUCUUCGGCAAUGGACGGAAGUCUGACCGAGCAACGCCGCGUGAGUGAAGAAGGUUUUCGGGUCGUAAAGCUCUGUUGUAAGAGAAGAACGAGUGUGAGAGUGGAAAGUUCACACUGUGACGGUAUCUUACCAGAAAGGGACGGCUAACUACGUG